AAACAGUCUGGAAAGAAACAAGUUAGAAACAGUUAAAAAGGGAACUCCUUUCAGCUUCACCACAGCAAAUGAUUCUCAUGGUUGAUUUGGCAAGUUUUUAAACCAGAUGCCCUUCCUGAGACAAACCCCUCUGUGAGGGGAUUGAACCCACGACCUGGGCGACAGGAGCCUAAUGCGCUAGCCACUGCACCAAACAACCCGUAAGGAAGUGAAAGAAGUUAAAAACAGAUUGAUGCCCAAAUUCUAAAAUCCAAAAUGAUCUGUAUCCACGUUGCUUUAAAUUCAGUCACUAUUUUGUUGAUUGGUUUCAGCUUUUUGAACCUUCAUCUAAAUUACAGACAUAUAUUUGGACCUGUGUAUUAACAGGGUAACGAUGCCUCUGCAGCACGGCUGCAGACGAUUCCAGAAAAGACACUGCAGGGGUCCUGUCUGGUCCCAUCAGUCAGAAGCGGCCUUGACCUGAAUAAGCGCCGCACAGCACCAGUCUGUUACUGAUGACUCACUGUGGAGACAACUGGCGGCACCAGGGGAGGCCAGAUAGUGAGACGCUUCGGGCCUGGCGGUAUCAGAGCUCUGCUGACCCCCUCCCUGAAUCCCACUGAGCUUGUCCUCACUGCUCCUUUCCUCUGCCUGCGAAUUCCUGAGCUAUGAAACACCCGAAUAACCUCAAGAGGAAACACUGAGGAACUUAAACAAAGCAAUCAGAGAAUGACGAUGCUGGUUUAAUCAGAUCAUGACUCAGCGGGAUGAUAAAGUCCCUGCUCCUAAAUUGGGCAAACAUGUUUGUCGGCUGGGUGAGUGAGUGUGCGUGACAUCACUGGUGACCGUGACCGUUUCUGCGUCUAUGAGUGAAUGAGCCGAGCAGCUCACAGACGCAGGGUCCAGUCUUUUUUAACCCGUUGCCUCGAAUUUGGUUCACGUCUCGGGUCAUUUCCUGGUGAAUGUAACCUAUCACUCCCUGAAGACAUUUCACAGGAGCAGAGGAAUCUGUCGGCACGCGGGGAAUUCUGAGCGGCUACCUGAGCGAACGCCGAAGAGGAAGCGGUUCCAGUCGGUGAAGCAAACUGUUUGUUGAGAACAGACACCAGAGGACAGACGGAUGACCUCAUCACAUCUGUAGCCAUGUUUGAGUGACAGACCUGCUGCUCCUUUAGUCUGAACACACACUCAUUGUUUCCAGGACCUUGUCUCCACUUCAAGAGUCGAGAGACAAUUGAUGCUUUUUCACACAGCUCUUAGUUCAUUAGUGUAACUGUCACUGAAGCUCCGACUCUAGAGGACGUUGGUGUUGUGAUGUGACGCCGUUGUUAUCUCACGGAUUUGCUGCCCGGGUAGCGGCUCUGUGAAGCAGAGGUGUAACCGGAUCCAGAGCAGAACCCAGGAAAUGCCAGAACACAGGUCCAAUGAGAAAACAGUCGACUACUGUUCAGUGUUAUAAAAGAGAUGAGAGGUCAGUGAAUGCCACACAGGCCUGAGGUUUAGAGACGAUGCAUCACAGUCAGCUGUAACAACAUUUAAAUGAUAACAAAUCCUGAAAUUGACAAGUGAUAUAUUAAUAAAGCACUAAAGUCAGGGAGUUCAAAAGAUUGUCAGUGUGAUGAACUGUGGGAACGUAGCAACUCAAAUUCUGUCUGGAUGAAACCUUGGCCUAUAACCAUAACAACUGCACCUGCGUAGUGUGUCCAGCCCCAUUUCUCCUCCUCCAAGCCUCUAGGCAUGAUGGGAACACACACUUUACCAUAUAUGGAGACCUGUGGCGCCACUCACGGCAGUUUGUAAUAAUAAAAGAAUGAGGAGACGGAGGAAAUGCAGCACGGGACGAGCGUGGCCUGUACCCUGCCUCCAGAGCCAGGCACCCUUUCCUGCAUUCAUCCUUUCACCCAUGUUCAUGUUCAUGAAACUCAUAUCUAUGUCCCAUUUUGCCCUUUUUUUAGGCUGCUGUGGGGACCAAAGGGAAACUGUAACGCUAGAACGAGGAACAGCACAACAUGCUAAGCACAUAAAUGUCAGAGAGCCGGAACGGGCUGCGACACAUGGAGCGGCAGCAGGGUUGUAAAUCUGUAAACACGAAGAGCUGAGGCUGAAGACGCUUGGUUUUAAAACAGCCCUGUAAAUGUCCAUUAGAAAGAUACGUAAAUGUAGAAUGUAAAAAAAUGUGUUAUAAUAUUCUUAUUAAUGCUAAUUCUGUCUUUUACUGCAGGAAUAAUGUAAAAACCCAUUUUCUGGUACUGUGACCCUGACGUUGUGAGGUCACACAAGGUCAACUCCACACAGCCUCAUUCAUAGCACACAGCGGCCAGUACAACAACGCCUACUGUUCCUCGUCCCUACAGUGCGAUAAAUACAAAGACCUGAUUCAUGAGGGCAAGGAGAGCUGUGAAAUAAUCCCAGGAUGCACUGCAGCAGCCACAGGUCCGACAGCAGGUCCAAAAACAGUGAGAUACCAAAACUGAAGUAUGCACGAAAAUGAGCUUGACGUCCUGGAUCUUCUCCGCAGCUCCAAUGUUCUCCACAGCCGGAGCUGGAGGUUCGGAUCGGGAUGAAGUUUCAGGCUCGGCUCGAAUGUGCUGUUCCAGAGGGCUGGACGGAGGGUCGUCUUCUCCAUAGCCGACGUUGACGUUCUUCUUCGGGGCUGAGGAGGAUGAGGAGGAGGCGGCGGGCUUCUUGCUGAGGAGCGAUGAGGCGAAGUAAAUGGCAAAUACGGUGAAGAGGAUGGCUGGAAUGAUGACAGCCGGGUCCAAGUCCAUGUUCUACUAAGACUGGUGAAGGAAAAGUGUAAAAGUUGAAGCGUGUUCACAGGAGCGUGCGUCUGCGCGACUUAGUCUGGCUGCAGCCACACACACACUGAGUUGCAUCUCGCCUCUCAGCGCAAUCUAACCUCACCAGCUGACCGGACGCAACAGACAAGAUACACACAAUGAGGGAUAUUACUACAUCCGCAUUGUGUUUCAAAUUAAAAGCACUUGCAGGACUUACAUGUAGUACUAGUUUGCCUUUCAGAGUAAAAUUAGAUUAUUUUCAGAAAUGGUAAGAGUAUGCAAAUAAACAAACAACAAAACUGCCAGAGUUCACAUUACAGUAGAAUAACUGCUGUAUACAUUAAUCGAGACUGUAACUUUUUUUUAAUCUGUUCCAACAUUUCAUACAAAAGAAACAAUAGGCAAAUUGAAUCUUACCUGCUUAACACUUAUGCUCUAGGAUCUGACUACAGUAGUUAAUCUUGUCAUGUAUUGGAUUGUUAUAGAGUUCUUUUACACAACACAUUAAUAAUUACUGUUACCGUUCCAAUAAAGCAUAUACACAUCUUAUUUUACAUGAAUUUACCAUAUUUUGAUUUGUUUGAAUAUAAAAUAAUCUAUUUCAUCAGCUUCUCUAUGGUAAAAAUCUAUGGUAUAAUCUACCUUUCUAUCCAGGCCCUACAAAGUUGGUCUUUAUUAAAUUGUGAUUUGAGUAAAUGAAUAAUUUAAAAUAGUCUCAAUGCGGUUAAUUCCAGCACAAAAACAUUUUUGGAGUCAUAGAAAAGAUUUUAUUUAUCAACAAAAUUACACGCACCACAUCAAGGUGUUAGAGGAUCCUGUCUCACUUGAUCAACAUUUACACGCUAAAGACUGAGCGUAAAAAAAAAAAAUGAAGGAAA